GUAAUAAGGUCUCCGGUGGGUGAACCAGCGGAGGGAUCAUUG
rnacentral:rRNA from 1 species